GAAUCGCGAUAAGUAAUGUGAAUUGCAGAUUUUCCGUGAAUCAUCGAAUCUUUGAACGCACCUUGCGCUCCUUGGUAUUCCGAGGAGCAUGCCUGUUUGAGUGUCAUCGAAACCUCGGAUCGAUGCUUCGACCCCGUCGAAGCUCGGUUCGGACUGUGGGAGUCUGCCGGCGAAGCGUGACUUCGUCGGCUCUCCUCAAAAGCAUUAGCUGUGGGUGGCGAGCCUGGCAUGGCACGGCCUGUUCGACGUCGUAGUGAUCGUCGCGGGCUGGAAGUGUACGGCUCGACGUGACCCAUGCUUCUCGAGUCUUGCGAGCCCGUCCCUCCGUGGGACGGCCGCGCCCCAUCGAAGCUUGACCUCAAAUCAGGUAGGACUACCCGCCGAACUUAA
rnacentral:rRNA from 1 species